rnacentral:rRNA from 1 species
AACGAACGCUGGCGGCAUGCCUAACACAUGCAAGUCGAACGAGACCUUCGGGUCUAGUGGCGCACGGGUGCGUAACGCGUGGGAAUCUGCCCUUGGGUCUGGAAUAACAGUUAGAAAUGACUGCUAAUACCGGAUGAUGACUUCGGUCCAAAGAUUUAUCGCCCAGGGAUGAGCCCGCGUCGGAUUAGCUAGUUGGUGGGGAAAAAGCUCACCAAGGCGACGAUCCGUAGCUGGUCUGAGAGGAUGAUCAGCCACACUGGGACUGAGACACGGCCCAGACUCCUACGGGAGGCAGCAGUGGGGAAUAUUGGACAAUGGGCGAAAGCCUGAUCCAGCAAUGCCGCGUGAGUGAUGAAGGCCUUAGGGUUGUAAAGCUCUUUUACCCGGGAUGAUAAUGACAGUACCGGGAGAAUAAGCCCCGGCUAACUCCGUGCCAGCAGCCGCCGUAACAC